GAUGCAGCAACGCCGCGUGCGGGAUGACGGCCUUCGGGUUGUAAACCGCUUUUAGUAGGGAAGAAGGGCUUCGGCUUGACGGUACCUGCAGAAAAAGGACCGGCUAACUACGUGCCAGCAGCCGCGGUAAUACGUAGGGUCCGAGCGUUGUCCGGAAUUAUUGGGCGUAAAGAGCUCGUAGGCGGUUUGUCGCGUCUGCUGUGAAAUCUGGAGGCUCAACCUCCAGCCUGCAGUGGGUACGGGCAGACUAGAGUGCGGUAGGGGAGAAUGGAAUUCCUGGUGUAGCGGUGGAAUGCGCAGAUAUCAGGAGGAACACCGAUGGCGAAGGCAGUUCUCUGGGCCGUAACUGACGCUGAGGAGCGAAAGCGUGGGGAGCGAACAGGAUUAGAUACCCUGGUAGUCCACGCCGUAAACGUUGGGCGCUAGAUGUGGGGACCUUUCCACGGUUUCCGUGUCGUAGCUAACGCAUUAAGCGCCCCGCCUGGGGAGUACGGCCGCAAGGCUAAAACUCAAAGGAAUUGACGGGGGCCCGCACAAGCGGCGGAGCAUGCGGAUUAAUUCGAUGCAACGCGAAGAACCUUACCAAGGCUUGACAUAACCGAGAACGCCCUAGAAAUAGGGAACUCUUUGGA
rnacentral:rRNA from 1 species